UUAAUAUAAAAUCUUUGAAAAAUUAAUAGAUAAAAUAAAAUUUCUUGAAUUAUAAAAGUUUAAACCAAUUUAAAUCAACUUGCCAAAACUAAAGUGGUAUCAUAAAAUAAAAAUAAAUAAAUAAAACGAUAAACUAAAACUUAACAAAUUCUACUAAAAUGUUCAAUGUAAAAUCCUUAUCACUAGUCAUUCUCCACUUCCAUGGCCACUUCGACUCUGAAACUGCAAAA
rnacentral:lncRNA from 1 species